rfam:Triticum aestivum genome assembly, contig: Triticum_aestivum_CS42_TGACv1_scaffold_321408_4BL
CUACUACUCCCUCCGUUCGGAAUUACUUGUCUCGAAAAUGGAUGUAUCUAAAACUAAAAUAUAGUUUUAGAUACAUCCAUUUUCGAGACAAGUAAUUCCGAACGGAGGGAGUAUAUA